AGGAUAUUAACUUGAACAAUAAUGUACCUUCCCUAUGGAUCUUUGAUGAGCUUUGGAGUUUGAAGUAGUGACCUGGCCAUCUUGUAGUCAGCAUUUUUAUGUCUGACGUGGUCGAAUGUGUUUCUUGUAUGAAGACAAUCUUAGAUUUGUUUAGACUCACUAAUGAUUAAAUGCAGAGUGGUGUAUAAACACAUAGUGAGCAAACCCCCAGAUAGGUUGACCAGAUUUAAGAUUGAAGCAUUAAUUAAUGGCAGGACUUCAUUGAUGAGUCUUGUAGGAAUGGGGUCUAAAAGACACAUUGAUGGUUUGAAGGAAGUAAUUACUGAAGUUAACUCAGAAGAUCAAUUAGAGAAAAAACUAUAAACAAAUAUUUUUUUGUCCAUUUUCAACUUUAUUAGAAGGCUCAGUGAAGAAACGACAGGAAAGCGCGCACAGAGAGAGAAGGGGGAAGACAUGCAGCAAAGGGCUGUAUAAUACAAUUUAAGGCUGUGAACACUGUCUAGAUGCUCUGAAUAUCACCUCACAGUUAAGAGCUAACAAAUAAACAGUAAUGUUUCCAUGUUGCCAGGUUGCGCUGCCAGCAGCACGGUGUGUUCAGGUGCAGUGUGACAGGCCUGGUGUUGGAGGGAUUUGGUGACGUGGUGUAUGAGAUGGUUCCCUGGGAUGUGGACUUCCUGUCCUCUAAAGGGCUGCAGGUGGCAGGAGCUCUGUUCAGGUUCCACCUGCUGACUGGGAGCUUCCAGCGACUCCACCUGCCGCAUUGCCAGCUGCUCUCAGGUCACUAACUGUUUCUUUGACAUGUUUUCUGCCAGUUACAUGUCACAGUCCCACCAUGAGGUCAAACUUCACAUUCACAUGACAGCAAACAGAACCUGCAGAAGAAAUCAUCCUCGCCUGAUGUUUUGGAGGAAAGAAAAAUACUUUCUGAUCUUGUUUAAUCCUCUGAGUCCGAGACUUUGGAGAGAAGUUUAGAUUUACAUUUUGUGUUUGGCUCAUUCCAGGGUUACCAUGUCAGACACGUCUGAAUUGCCAUCGCUGGCUGACGUUUCUUGAUAGUCUCUGGAUGAAUGUUUUUCUAUCUUGCAGAUGGUGGUCAGCACUUCCUAUCUGUAGCUCAUGUCACUGGGGACUGUGUGGACUUUAUCACUCCAGGUCAGGUGACCGAUAGUCAUGUGACAGUUGAUAUCUCGGGCUUCUCGUGCUUUGGUCUGGUGACCCCAGCGCCCAGUGACCAGAUUGCUGGCCUGGUGUUGAUCUUCUCUCAACCCACAAAUUCCACACUGUUUGUCCUGCUGCUGCCCAGGAAUGUCUGCCUCACUCAGGUGAGAAAGGAGUGGAAGCGGCGGAUUGGGGCUGAGUACGUCGAAGCUAUUCCUGACUGCGAACUGAUCCCAAAUCACACAUACAAACUGAUUGGAGAGCCCGUCACAGUCAUCCAGCCAGAGAUAUCAAAGUUCGUGAACUUCAGAGACUACAACAACUUCCUGCCGUCAUUCCAGGUGCAGCUGAAGGCUGGAGCCACACAAGUGAGGCUGCAGCUCAGGAGUCAUGUGGCUGGAUCCCGUCUGAUCGGCUGGGUGUUUGGCAACAAAGAGUGUGAGGUCUGGGCCCGAGACAUUCAGCUAAAAGGUAAUUCACACUACAUGUGACCUUCUUUUACCUGUGUCUGUAGUUGAUUUAUAGUCAAACUGAAAACACACCAUGGUUCUUGAAAAUGUGAGACUUUAUCAUGGAGACUCGUGAACCUG
ensembl:lncRNA